AGAGUCAAGGAAAUUUUGAGCCAUCUACAACUUUUAACAUUGGAUAAAUUAAACUCCUGUGAACAAAAUUUUGAAGCAUAUUUGUUUCUCUCUGCAUGGUUUCUCCAGAAUUUGGAAACUAUUUCACUUUCAGCUCUUAAAACUUCUGUUAAAGGUUUACCAUCCAGACACUGAGUAUUUUGUACAGCAGACAUGGUCCAUCAUCAGCAUAGUCUUGAAGGAAGUAUAUAACAUGGUGGAGCCAUUGCGGACAGAGACCACAUGGAAACUGUGUAGCAUCCACAUUUUCUUCCUUGUUCAGGAACCACCCUACCCAAUUCAGGAAUCAGGAAUUCCAAAGAACUUGGCUGGACAGUUCUUACUUCGAAGACUUUAACGUCCCUCACUACCUAGCAGUUGAUGCUGAUCACCAGCUGAGAACUCACCUGUGGUUCUCUGCUGGAGGCCUGACAUGACUCUCCAGGACAGUGAUCUCAGGUACUCAGACUCCUUACAUAGCAGCUAUCUUCCUUCACAGUAACCCAUGCAAGCAAAGAGAUCAUGAAGAAAUGACAUGGUCUAAUCUGACCUGUGCUCACAAGUUACACAGAGUAACUUUUACUUCAUUCUGCUGGUUACAACUGAGUCACUAAGGCUGGUCCAGGAUCAAUGUCUCUUUACAAAGGUGACGUUUUAGAAGAGAGCUGAAAGAAGAGCGGCAAAAUAUAGGUCAGUCUGGAGGAAAAGGAAUUCAGAAAAAGAUAGAAGGAGAGCAACAAAGAACAGUACUUAGAAUGUCUGUGUGCAUAAGAGGAAAUCAGAGUGCAGCAGGAAGCCCGGUCUUUAAAGGUUAUGUAAACUGAUGUAAACAAAGUAAGAUCAAAAUCAGAGGAAUACUUGAGAUGAAGACAUAUUAUGCCCAAAUUAAUGUUUUAAAUGUGUUCCUCUCCAGCAAUGAGGAAACCAGGGUGUGAGGAAACAAGAGUAUAUUCAGGGAGAUUUGUGAGGGUUUACUGCAAUCAUUCAGAUGAGAAAUGAUGAUGGCUUGAAUAAACUGAGUAUAGAGAAGGUGAUUAGAAUUAUUUGCACUCAGAAUACCCUUUCAAUGUAGAGCUGCUAGAAUUCAUUGAUGAAUUAAAUGUGAGGUCUGAGAGAAAGAAAAGGGUUCAGAAUUUUCAAGACAUCUUCCCAUAAUUUCUUCCUACAUGAAAAAAGUUGGUACUUCCUCAGAUAAGAAAUACUGUGGUUGAAG